GGGGAUGAAAUUUUCCAGUGUCAGGAUGAUUCUCCCGAGUGAAUUUGAACCCAUACCAGUGUGGCACUAAGGUAGGAUACUGUACUCUAGAGUAAAACGUCCCCCGGGAUAAAAUAUAGGUAGGAUAUAAUCCUUGCUUACAUUUACCAUAUCAUGAUCUCAGUCCGAUAACUUGUAGUUUCAACAGUGGGAAUUAAUCAAAAGUAAAUAUUAGAUAUUUCAGUGCAAGCUAAAUGUCAUCUCUUCUACAGCAAGCCUGAGGUUACACUAGGACAACAUGGACACAUUUGUUGUAUCCAGCUCACUCACUCACUCACUGGUGUCUCAGCCUUAACAACUCCGCAAUAUCAUGUCAAGACGAUGAUGAAGACGUGUGUAGGGUACGAGUGAGAUAUGUACUUUCAUGUAAUGAUGGCGGACUAUCCUGUGAAGGAGUCACUGUGCACAUUUUGUCUUAUCAGUUUGUGAACAUGAUGAUAACAAGAUGUUACAGACAUAUCAGUAGGCAAACUGUUUAAAAAGUGUCUUGGACGACGAGUAUUCAAAUACUGUGUGUGGCAUCAUUGUGAUACGUUUUCAUGACCGGACUCGGUGCACAUGCACUCAGACAUUAGAAUUGUGGGGUUACUGUGAACAGUGAAAGAUUUCUGCUGUGCAGUUAGUGAAAGCAUUUCAGUUCAUUACCAUGAUUAUGGCAUAAGUGGCACAGGUUCACAUGUAGGUGGAUUGUGUUCAGAGUUAAGGGAAUCAAUGUGACCUGUCAUUCCAGCUUCCUAAACAAUGGCCAAGGAUACCAGCAGGGUGUUGAAACCUCCUUGAAAGUCACGCACAACAUUUCACAGUCCAGGGACAUAAACAUGACAUUUUUGUUUCAAGGAAGUUACGGUUAGUGGAACUUGGCUUGACACUCAUUCUGUGCUAAAAGCUUUGAGUCUACUUCCCGGAACUUUUCACGUGGCAUCAUUUUCAGUAAACCUUGGUUUAAUGUAUGGACCUAAAACAGCAACGGUUUCUUGACCGAAAGACGUUUUACUGGACUCGGGCGUCAGACUUGUUGCUAAAGUCAGAGACUGCACUCAUCCCUGUUAGCAUGACAUCCGGGGUCCAUUGAACUGAGCAUGACAUUCUGAAAGCCAAAUGAUCUUAGCGUGACACUUUAAGGUUGUUGGAAAUAAGCAUGACAUUUGAGGUUCAACGAAAGUUUGCGUGUGUGUUACGGUGUGUGAAAGUUGCCAUGAUUUCCCAGGUCACAUGAUGUCUUGUGGAUGCUGAAAUCAGCUUGACAUUUUUUUAGUGCAAGCAAGGGAAAGCUAGACCUCUUGAUCUAUCUGUACAAGGUCUAUUAGCACUGACUUAAUGAUGAUCAGAGAUUCUGCCAGAUCCUUGGACCAGGAGCCGUGUGGUCCAGGAGCCAUGUGGACCAGGAACCGUGUGGACCAGGAGCCGUGUGGACCAGGAGCCGUGUGGUCCAGGAGCCGUGUGGACCAGGAACCGUGUGGACCAGGAGCCGUUUGGUCCAGGAGACGCGUGGUCCAGGAGAGGAGGCACGAUGCAAGACUACUGUCACACUAAUCCAAGAUGGCGACCAAAGACAUGGCAACAAGUGGUGCCUGCAAAUUACAUGCUCUUAAUGCAAAAUGUCUUUAAGCGUGUCUUCGAGUGAGUUGUUUCCUGAUAAUAGAGCUUCUACAAUCUAUUUAUCGAAUGGUAUCGAUUAUGCAUAGUGCAUGGAGCAGCAAGGAUUGGAUUUUGUAGUCCUGCUAUUUUGUGUUCUGUGGAACUCUUCCAUUUCAUCAAAAACUACUGUGUUGAAAGCAAAGCCACUAUGAGAUAUGUGUUUAGAAGAAGGAAUUGAAUUUCAUGGAAACAAAUUCCUUCAACACUGUGAUUUAGCAAGCUGAUUCCUGGAAAUGAAAUGGGCCAAUUUGAUCCUGGGACAUAGGUUAGGUCUGCCAUUGUUUAUCCAACAUGGGAGGGUUAAUAUUCUGUGACAGUGACUGGGUUAAUAUUCUAUGACACUGAAAGGGUUAAUAUACUGUGACACUGACAAGGUUAAUAUAUUGUGAAACUGAAAGGGUUAAUAUACUGUGACACAAGGUUAAUAUAUUGUGAAACUGAAAGGGUUAAUAUACUGUGACACAAGGUUAAUAUAUUGGGAAACUGAAAGGGUCAAUAUACUGUGACACAAGGUUAAUAUAUUGUGAAACUGAAAGGGUUAAUAUACUGUGACACUGACAAGGUUAAUAUAUUGUGAAACUGAAAGGGUUAAUAUACUGUGACACUGACAAGGUUAAUAUAUUGUGAAACUGAAAGGGUUAAUAUACUGUGACACUGACAAGGUUAAUAUAUUGUGAAACUGAAAGGGUUAAUAUACCGUGA
rnacentral:lncRNA from 1 species